GGGGGAAGGAUUCCCUGUGGAAGGCUUUUCACUCGAAGAGGGCAGCCUCGGCUCCUUGGCCUGGAAAGGAGAGCAGACACUACAACCAAGAAUCCGUUUCCCAAGGAUGUGCUUCAUCCUUAGUGCCAUAGGUGUUCACCUGGAAAGAAAACUCAAUGCCAUAAACUUCAGGUCUGUCUGGGAAGGAAUUGGAAAGAUGUGUGUCUGCGCAGAGGGAAGGUGGUGUCUGUCUGUCCAGAGGGCUGCUGUUCGUGAAGAGGGACGACAGCUGCGACUUCAAGCGCUGACUGGGAGGCCUGAAAAACAAGAUGCCUUGCUGUUGUUCCCCUGCAGCUGAAAUGAUGGUGUGCUUGAUGGAGCAGAGAUAAGCAGCUGGACAACAAGCUUAUAAGCAAGAUGCCUGUCAUUCCCGGAGACUUACACUGGUCUCCUUAGAGUUCUUACGGUUUGAUGUAGACACCCGAGGCCUUGCUCGCAUCAGCUGUGAAGGAUGCUUUUUCAAGGGAAAUCUACGCUGUAAAAAAUACCGAGAUGUAACAUUUAAGAAUAUAUGGUCUAGUGCAUAAAAUGAAAUCAUAUGGUAGUGGCGUGCUUUUAGCAUGGAUAAUCAACCAACUAAAAUUUCAAGAUGGAAUAUGACUUGUGGCAGGGAAAAGUAUGACAUAAUACACAAGAAACUUAUCUAAAUUACGUAAGCGGAAAGCGUGACUCACAGUCUCUGGAGCUGGGCUGGGGAGUGACUAAAUUCCACAGAGUAAACCAUCGUUCUAUUGCUGCACUUUCUAGUUUCCCCGCUGCCUGAAUACGGACACCUUAGUAAAAAUCUGGCUCUGAGCGGAGGCUGUGGUUAAAGCUAGCGGAGUCACCGAGGUCCUGGUUAGUGCGGGAGGCAGAGCAGGGCCGUCAGUAGCUGCAGGAGGAUUAUCGCUCCUCUACAGCCCAAAAUAGCCAAAUGAGGGUCAGUGUUUCAGCUUACAGACCUGCAUACGUGAUGAUCAAGUUUUGGGUUGCUAUACUGGCAGAAAUCUUUUUCUCAUGUGAUCAGUCACACAAAGAAAAGAUUAUUACCUGUAGGCACUCUCUCAGACCUUCUGCAUCAGUUUGUGCCUAUAGAUAUGUAUACUAUGCAAUAUGGGAAUAUAAAGCCUCUGAAGAAUAAUACAGGUAUGAGCUAUAAUAUGGUACCUGAGAAAAUACAUACAGACCUGUUUUUAUUUAUAUGGUUUUAUUAUACAAAAUAUGCGUAAC